rnacentral:misc_RNA from 1 species
AAUAUCAACCCCUCCUGGUUUCUGAUCAGUGUUGGGCUUGGACUUGGGUGUCUGCCAGGACUUGUCCUGGCUCGCCUUAAAUGACUUAGUGGGAAUAGCAUCCACGGCUAAGACGUAAUAAGUUUCGUCUGGUCAAGGUGUGAAGCCUGCUCAUAACCCGACCGCAAGGUCACUAUUUAUG